rnacentral:rRNA from 1 species
UACGAAGGGGGCGAGCGUUGUUCGGAUUUACUGGGCGUAAAGGGCGCGCAGGCGGCUCAUUUUGUCAGGCGUGAAAGCCCCGGGCUUAACCUGGGAACUGCGUUUGAUACGGAUGGGCUAGAGUUCGGGAGAGGAGAGUGGAAUUCCCAGUGUAGAGGUGAAAUUCGUAGAUAUUGGGAAGAACACCGGUGGCGAAGGCGGCGACCUGGUCCUUGACUGACGCUGAGGCGCGAAAGCGUGGGGAGCAAACAGG